rnacentral:rRNA from 1 species
AGUGAACGCUGGCGGUAGGCCUAACACAUGCAAGUCGAACGGCAGCACAGUAAGAGCUUGCUCUUACGGGUGGCGAGUGGCGGACGGGUGAGGAAUACAUCGGACUCUACUUUUUCGUGGGGGAUAACGUAGGGAAACUUACGCUAAUACCGCAUACGACCUACGGGUGAAAGCAGGGGAUCUUCUGACCUUGCGCGAUUGAAUGAGCCGAUGUCGGAUUAGCUAGUUGGCGGGGGAAAGGCCCACCAAGGCGACGAUCCGUAGCUGGUCUGAGAGGAUGGUAAGCCACACUGGAACUGAGACACGGUCCAGACUCCUACGGGAGGCAGCAGUGGGGAAUAUUGGACAAUGGGCGCAAGCCUGAUCCAGCCAUACCGCGUGGGUGAAGAAGGCCUUCGGGUUGUAAAGCCCUUUUGUGGGGAAAGAAAAGCAGCAGGUUAAUACCCCGCGGUUCUGACGGUACCCAAAGAAUAAGCACCGGCUAACUUCGUG